UCUCAGUGUCAGUGUUGGCCCAGCAGAGUGCUUUCGCCGUUGGUGUUCUUCCCGAUAUCUACGCAUUUCACCGCUACACCGGGAAUUCCCUCUGCCCCUACCACACUCAAGCGAAGUAGUUUCGACUGCCGAUAUAGAGUUGAGCUCUACGAUUUAACAGUCGACUUACCAAGCCACCUACAGACGCUUUACGCCCAAUGAUUCCGGAUAACGCUUGCAUCCUCCGUAUUACCGCGGCUGCUGGCACGGAGUUAGCCGAUGCUUAUUCCUCAGAUACCGUCAGAACUUCUUCUCUGAGAAAAGGAUAUUACAACCCACAGGCCUUCAUCCUCCACGCGGCAUUGCUCCGUCAGGCUUUCG
rnacentral:rRNA from 1 species